rnacentral:rRNA from 1 species
UACAGAGGUCCCAAGCGUUGUUCGGAUUCACUGGGCGUAAAGGGUGCGUAGGUGGCGAGGUAAGUCGGAUGUGAAAGCUCGGAGCUCAACUCCGAAAUGGCAUUGGAAACUACCUUGCUCGAGGGUUGGAGGGGGGACUGGAAUUCUCGGUGUAGCAGUGAAAUGCGUAGAUAUCAGGAGGAACACCGAUGGCGAAGGCAGGUCUCUGGGCUGACACUGACGCUCAUGCACGAAAGCGUGGGGAGCAAACAGG